rnacentral:lncRNA from 1 species
AUGUUAAAUUGUGAACAUCAUUCAGAUAGUAAUGUUAAAUUGUGAACAUCAUUCAGAUAGUAAUGUUAAAUUGUGAACAUCAUUCAGAUAAUAAUGUUAAAUUGUGAACAUCAUUCAGAUAGUAAUGUUAAAUUGUGAACAUCAUUCAGAUAGUAAUGUUAAAUUGUGAACAUCAUUCAGAUAGUAAUGUUAAAUUGUGAACAUCAUUCAGAUAGUAAUGUUAAAUUGUGAACAUCAUUCAGAUAGUAAUGUUAAAUUGUGAACAUCAUUCAGAUAGUAAUGUUAAAUUGUGAACAUCAUUCAGACAGUAAUGUUAAAGAUAGAAAAGUUGAAUUCAAUACAGGUGUUACUAUUUUUUGAUUCAUUGCCAAUCAAUGAAGUAGUGCUUUUAACUAUUAACAGAUAAACUCCUUCAGGGGCUGUAGUUUUUAGUAAUGCAUAUCUUGAUUCUAAAAGCCUGAGGGCUGUUGAAUGCAACGAAAUAAACAAUGCUAAAGAUACAAAUGAUUUUGAUGGCGCUCAUCCUGAUUCAAAAUGCCCAAUUAACUUUUUAUUGAAUUAGAAAUAUGCUGCACACAGUGAAUCCUCGGUUAAUAUAAAACGUUGGAAUCUCACCCGAUUCAAUUUAUUUGAUGGUUCAACUG